rnacentral:rRNA from 1 species
GACGUAGGGUCCAAGCAUUAUCCGGAAUCAUUGGGCGUAAAGCGUGGGUAGGUGGUUUGGUAAGUUUUUGGUUAAAUCCUCCGGCUCAACCGGGGAAUCGCCAGGAAUACUGCCAGACUUUGAGGUCAGCAGGGGCAAAUGGAAUUUCCGGUGUAGGGGUGAAAUCCGUUGAUAUCGGAAGGAACACCAGUGGCGAAGGCGAUUUGCUAGGCUGAAACUGACACUGAGCCACGAAAGCGUGGGGAGCGAAACGG